GAAUUUGCUAAGACAAGGAGAGUAGUCUCUUAGAACUUUUUCAGGGAGAAUCGGGUAAGUGAGAACGAUUCAAAAGCCUAAGCGAUGAAAGUAGCCUUCGAGCGACAAAUGCGAGCGAGUCCGCGAGUGUUUGUUGGGAGCGCCCAUUACAGCGCCAGUGUAUCGCUGAAUUCCUUCGGCCGUACAUGGUGAGUCGAUAGUUGUGAAGCUGUCGAGAAUUUGGGUGGUAACACGUGCAAACGUCCCUUAA
rnacentral:ncRNA from 1 species